ensembl:lncRNA
AUGCCGAGACGAUCCUUGAGGAACAAAACCAGGAGACGUCAUCACUGGAGGACUGGAACUGAUCAUCGAGUGGAUCAUCCAGAGAGCUCCACUGAUUUAGAUCCAGCACCCAGUGGCUCAAUGCAGGAAAACCAUGAAAAAAGAGGAGAACCAAUCAGUCAAUCAAGACCAGCAACUCCUGAGAUGAGCAACACAAAGGUCCUGCAUCCACCAUCUUCCGAUGAUGUUGGCAAUCAUACUCGGCAAUCAACAAGCAGGCAUGGAUCUGAAGACGAGUGUUUAAUGCCUGUGUCAAAUCAAGAUGCAGACCAGUUGUUAAGUGACGAGUUGGAUUCCCCUCUUGCCCUUGCCAUCCAAGCAUCUCUUGAGGACUUUGAAGUAAACUUUGGAUCCGUUUGUGGUGAUGAUGCUGAUAAUCAAGACUCCACCCUUCCCAGGAAUCCACAUGACUUCAACAGUAUGCAGGUAUAGUGUAGAACUGAGUCAUUUCUAACAGUUCUGUAAAAAAAUGUUACUGCCAUUAUUGAUUAUUUUAAAGAGUUUUCACUAUUCAUUAUUCUGUCUAUAAAAUGUACAAAAACAAUGACAAAUUGUCAUCCCAAGUUCUCUCACACCAAGCUGAUGUUUUUAGAUUACUUUUUCAUCCAAACAAUCCAAAACCAAAAGAUAUUCUAUGUAUUAAAAAUCUAGAACCACAGCAUAAUUCAUUUCUGCAUGCUAAUUGAUAUAUUGAUUGUCAAAGUCGUUGAUUCAUUUUCUGUUCACCAAUUGAUUAAUCGAUCAAUAAUCACACCUAAUUACCUUUUUUAAAAACCCUGCAGCACUCUGCACUGAAUGACGCACGUGUAUCAUCAAGCAGUCUUCCAGCAUCACCAGACCCAUUUGAAAAAGAACUCCUUGUGAAAUUAAAACGAGUAAACAUAGUUGAUGAUGUCCUUAAUAUCUUCAUGGAACCAAAACUACUGAAUGCUAAUCUAAAAAUGGAGUUUACAAAUGAGAAAGGUGUGGACAGUGAUGGUGUGUCAAGAGAGGAAUACUUCUCGUUCUGGGAACAUUUCUUGGAACAGUGUGAGGGAGAAGAUGAACGAGUACCCAGACUACAACCAGACUAUUCUGAGAAGGCAUGGCAAGCUCUUGGAAGAGUGUGGUUAAGGAGGAUACCUGGACCAUUUGGCAAUUACAUAUUUCACACACACAUGUUGAUACAAUGAGUAAACAGUUAGCCACACUUAACAACAACUAGCACAGGAUGGGCUUUCAUCUUUCCACCUCAUCCAUUCCACCUUUCACUUCCUGCCUCAUUCUGAUGAAUUAAGACAUGGACGUAAACUGCUACUUGACAGGCAUACAUUUGCAUGGCGGCAACGCUAGUUUUAAACAGGCUCCCAGUUCCACACAGUACCACAGUGCUUCCAUUCAAUGUACACGUUACAUAUCAUGUAAAGGGUGCACAAAUAAGAAGAUUCUAGACAUUGAAAACCAUCAAUCACAUAACAAACAUAAAACAUGGGAUUAAGAACAUUUCAUACCAAGAGCUUCCAUUCUUUCUGCAGUAUUAUCAGAAACAUUGGUUGCUUUAUUAUUAAAGUAGACUGCUGCUAAGGUUUUUAACUAUGAAGAUAAAUAAAAUGACAGCUCUAUUUGGAAGCAGCAAGUGGUCUUACACUGCAGUCUGUCACACACUGAAGUAUUCAGAUGCUUUACUUAAAGCGGCUGUGACAGUUUUAUGAUAACAAUUUAACAAAUGACAAUGUAAAACAGUUUGACAAUGUCAAAGGGGUUGCUUGAAGUGAUGAACCUAAUAAGAAUUAUCAGUGAAUCUGAAGCCUCCCCAUGGCUUUACAGAGCUCUACAGCAAAUUUCAGCAAUUUUUUUAGCUUUCCGGCAGCCUCUUUACUGUUUUGAAACCUCUCACUGCUCUCAAAGCAUAGUACAUACUUUUACUCAGAGCAAGCAGCUGUUUUCAGUGAAAGAGGCCUAAAAACCCACUGUCUGGGCAGUUAACUUUAUCAUUUAGUUGAGUAUCGGUGUGUGUGCAUCUUACGAGUAGGCCUUCUGUGACCUUACCCACUGCUGGGUCAGGUUUUAUUUUG